rnacentral:rRNA from 1 species
UACGUAGGGACCAAGCGUUGUUCGGAUUUACUGGGCGUAAAGGGCGCGUAGGCGGCUUAACAAGUCACUUGAGAAAUCUCCGGGCUUAACUCGGAACGGCCAAGUGAAACUGUCAAGCUAGAGUGCAGAAGGGGCAAUCGGAAUUCUUGGUGUAGCGGUGAAAUGCGUAGAUAUCUGGAGGAACACCGGUGGCGAAGGCGGCAUCCUGGACCGGUAUUGACGCUGAGGCGCGAAAGCCAGGGGAGCAAACGGG